rnacentral:rRNA from 1 species
UACGUAGGGUGCGAGCGUUGUCCGGAAUUAUUGGGCGUAAAGAGCUCGUAGGCGGUGUGUCACGUCGGCCGUGAAAACCUGCAGCUUAACUGUGGGCGUGCGGUCGAUACGGGCAUCACUGGAGUUCGGCAGGGGAGACUGGAAUUCCUGGUGUAGCGGUGGAAUGCGCAGAUAUCAGGAGGAACACCGAUGGCGAAGGCAGUUCUCUGGGCACUAACUGACGCUGAGGAGCGAAAGCAUGGGGAGCGAACGGG